AUGGCGGCCGCGGCGCGAGACCGGCGGCGAAGGGGCCGCGCUCCCGGGGCUGCCUCCGCGGAAGACGACGGGGAGGAGCACCACCUCAACCCCUUCCUCUCGGACGAGGCGCCCUCGUCCUCCAGAGUCCAGUUCAGGAACGUGGCGUCGCGGGCGCGGUGGGUGGAGGAGGCCGGCGCGGCGGAGGUGCUGGACAGCAAGGGGAAGCUCUGGCUGACCACCGGCGUCACACGCGGCGGCAAGCUCGACUACAAUGUCGAGGAGAUCGGGUUUUUGGCAGAAAGAGGGGCAUUGAUUUUUCUCGAUGAUGAGGAUGGGACAAUAGGAAUGGAAGAAAUCUAUGGAAAGAUUGCAGGAGGAAAAUAUGGGUGCUCGUGGGAUGCCUUCCAGGCUUACAAACACUUGAAGUUGCUUGGCUACAUUAUUGGACGAUAUGGUGUCCCCUGGACAAUGAAGCAUAACCCUACUUGUGAAACCACUGAUUCCCUGGAGAGUAUGCCUGACACUAACCAGAGCUUCGAUAGAGCCGACGGUGUCCGCAGCGGCAUCGCGAAAUUACUCAAAGAAAUGCACAUAGAUGGGUUGCAUCCAUCCUUUGAAGUGUAUCUACCAAAUAGCAAAUUUAGAAAGUCAUCCCCUGGAGCCCCUUGUUUCUUCCUAUCUAUGUUAAGAGACAAACCACCAUCAAGGGAUGAACUGGAAACCAUCGAAAGCAAGUGUGGCGGCAUUCCUCUUAAAUUUUGUCAAGUUGAUAAUGGACGUGUCAGCCUUCUCUCCUUCGACAAAGUUCUACUUCCUAGUUUGCCCUGA
rnacentral:rRNA from 1 species